rfam:Ailuropoda melanoleuca scaffold25_113, whole genome shotgun sequence.
GCUCAGUUGGUAGAACAUGUGACUCUUGAUCUCAGAGUUAUGAGUUCAACUCCCAUAUUGGGCA